rnacentral:rRNA from 1 species
AUGUACAUUCAUACAACAUAGCAUUAAUGCACUGGAUCCCAUUAGAACUCCAUAGUUAAGCGUGCUCAGCCUAGAGUAGUACUGGGAUGGGAGACUGCUUGGGAAGUCCUAUUGUUUUACAUU